GUGAGUCAUCGAAUCUUUGAACGCACCUUGCGCCCUCUGGUAUUCCGGAGGGCAUGCCUGUUUGAGUGUCAUGUAGACUCAAUCCCUCGGGUUUCCGAGGAGAUUGGACUUGGGUGUUGCCGCUCUGCCGGCUCGCCUUAAAAGACUUAGCGGGAUAGCACCGAAGUCGGCGUAAUAAGUUUCGUCGGUGAAGGUUGUGAUGACUGCUUACAAUCGCCCUCGGGCAAUUUUUGACUCUGACCUCAAAUCAGGUAGGACUACCCGCUGAACUUAAGCAUAUCAAUAAGCGGAGGA
rnacentral:misc_RNA from 1 species